GAUGAACGCUGGCGGCGUGCCUAAUACAUGCAAGUCGAGCGAACAGAUGAGGAGCUUGCUCCUCUGACGUUAGCGGCGGACGGGUGAGUAACACGUGGAUAACCUACCUAUAAGACUGGGAUAACUUCGGGAAACCGGAGCUAAUACCGGAUAAUAUAUUGAACCGCAUGGUUCAAUAGUGAAAGACGGUUUUGCUGUCACUUAUAGAUGGAUCCGCGCCGCAUUAGCUAGUUGGUAAGGUAACGGCUUACCAAGGCAACGAUGCGUAGCCGACCGGAGAGGGUGAGCGGCCCCAUGGAACCGAGGCCCCGUCCCAGCCUCCGACGGGGGGCAGCAGUGGGGAUUCUUCCGCAAGGGGCGAAACCCUGACGGAGCCACGCCGCGUGAGUGAAGAAGCUCUUCGGUUCGUAAACCUCUGUAAUUAGGGAAAAACAAAUGGGAAAGAACACAUGCCCUUCUGGGCGGUCCCUAUUCAAAAAGCCACGGCUACCUCCGU
rnacentral:rRNA from 1 species